rnacentral:rRNA from 1 species
CCCUUAGAUGUUCUGGGCCGCACGCGCGCUACACUGACGAAGUCAGCGAGCAUCUCCUACGCCGAAAGGUGCGGGGAACCUUGUGAAACUUUGUCGUGCUGGGGAUUGAUUUUUGAAAUUCUUGAUCAUCAACGAGGAAUUCCUAGUAAGCGCAAGUCAGCAGCUUGCGUUGAUUACGUCCCUGCCCUUUGUACACACCGCCCGUCGCUACUACCGAUUGAAUGGUUUAGUGAGAUUUUUGGACUGGAACUCUCUUGUUCAGCAAUGGACGAGAGGGACUCUGGGAAGCUAUUCUAACUGUAUCAUUUAGAGGAAGUAAAAGUCGUAACA